UACGUAGGUGGCAAGCGUUAUCCGGAUUUAUUGGGCGUAAAGGGAACGCAGGCGGUCUUUUAAGUCUGAUGUGAAAGCCUUCGGCUUAACCGGAGUAGUGCAUUGGAAACUGGGAGACUUGAGUGCAGAAGAGGAGAGUGGAACUCCAUGUGUAGCGGUGAAAUGCGUAGAUAUAUGGAAGAACACCAGUGGCGAAAGCGGCUCUCUGGUAUGUAACUGACGCUGAGGUUCGAAGGCGUGGGUAGCAAACAGG
rnacentral:rRNA from 1 species